GAAUCCUGCAUGACAAAGGUUAGCAACCAGUCAUUAGUUAGUCUUGGGCUUGUUAUAGUGAUGUAAUAAGUUAAGUGUAGACAAACGAGAUACCAGGCCAUAAGCAAAUGCUGAAACUAAUAGCCGCGAAAUUUUGAGAAAACCGGAAAGGACGAUAGUCUCGGGGUCCUAGAAGUCAGAAUAUGCGUAGUCGUUAUUGCAAGAAUACAUAUACUUUCCCGCGGUUCUAAGGUA
rnacentral:ncRNA from 1 species